AUACUCCUUCUUGUUAUAAGACAAGUCGGGAAAGUUUUUCGCUAAGGGAUCAGUCUAUGUUCCAUCAGCUAGUUGGUGAGGUAAUAGCUCACCAAGGCAAUGACGGAUAUCUGGUUUGAGAGGAUGAUCAGACACACUGGAACUGAGACACGGUCCAGACUCCUACGGGAGGCAGCAGUGAGGAAUAUUGCACAAUGGAGGAAACUCUGAUGCAGCAACGCCGCGUGGAGGAUGACGCAUUUCGGUGUGUAAACUCCUUUUAUUAGGGAAGAUUAUGACGGUACCUAAUGAAUAAGCACCGGCUAACUCCGUGCCAGCAGCCGCGGUAAUACGGAGGGUGCAAGCGUUACUCGGAAUCACUGGGCGUAAAGGGUGCGUAGGCUGGCUUUUAAGUCAGAUGUGAAAUC
rnacentral:rRNA from 1 species